rnacentral:rRNA from 1 species
GACGAACGCUGGCGGCGUGCUUAACACAUGCAAGUCGAGCGGUAAGGCCCUUUCGGGGGUACGACGAGCGGCGAACGGGUGAGUAACACGUGGGUGACCUGCCCUCAGCUCUGGGAUAAGCCUGGGAAACCGGGUCUAAUACCGGAUAUGACUCCAUGACGCAUGUUGUGGGGUGGAAAGCCUUGUGCGGCUGAGGAUGGGCCCGCGGCCUAUCAGCUUGUUGGUGGGGUGAUGGCCUACCAAGGCGACGACGGGUAGCUGGUCUGAGAGGACGAUCAGCCACACUGGCACUGCGACACGGGCCAGACUCCUACGGGAGGCAGCAGUAAGGAAUAUUGCGCAAUGGGCGAAAGCCUGACGCAGCGACGCCGCGUGGGGAUGAAGGUC